UUUUGGAAAGUAAAGAGAGAACUGGGGAUAAAGGUAUAAAGUGGGAAAGAAAGGGGAAAUCAACCAACUCUAAUAACCACCCCCUGAGUCAUUUCCCACAUCCUCCUCUUCUUCCGGCUCCUCUUUUGGAUCCUCCUCCGGGUCUUCCUCAAACUCCACCUCAUCAUCAUUGAAUUUUGGCUCCUCCGCUGGAUCUUGUUAUGGCUCUGUACUAGAAUCUAUUUGGAUGCACUCCACUACCCGGUCAUCGUCUUCAGCAUGUGGCAACAUGUAGUCAAUGGAUCUUAGGACUACUUGACGGUGCAUUGAAGUGGUCACAAGGUAAUGUGGCAGGAUCUCAUGGUAAAUCUACAAAGCAACCACCGCGUCCUCUAACCAGGCUAUACCCUCUCUGCUUGGCCGGGCCAGCUCUUUUUCCUCAUCGAUCUAGACAUAAUACACAGGAGUACACCACGAGUUUUUACCCAUAGGCAUAGUCCAGAGUACCAAAUGAAAGUAGAUCGAUUUUUUUUCAUUCCUGAAGAGGUGCAUAUCUUGCCCGGAUCUUCUUCCAUAAUGGUACGGAACAAUAGUAUCAUUGGGGUAGAUACACAAAUCACCUUAAAUCUAAGAAGCCGAGUCGGUGGGUUGGUCCGGGUGGAGAGAAAAAAAAAUGAAUUGAACUUAAAAUCUUUUCUGGAGAUAUCCAUUUUCCUGGAGAGACAGAUAAGAUAUCUCGACAUACUGGCAUUUUGAUACCACCAGGAACAGGAAAAAGACAUUCCAAGGAAUCCAAAAAAGUGAAAAAUAUAAUUAUGCUAAAUAGGUUUAACUCAAGUGUAUAGGCUAAAGUUAGCAUCUGAACCUGAAGUAGUCAUACUCAGCUUAAAAUUAUCAUUUUGGCUACAACAAGAAUGAUCGGGUUCUACUUUUAUGGAAGAUAUCUUAUUGACAACUGAAUGUAAGCUUUACAAAGUCAAGCGGCAACAUUAAAGAGAUUAAAAAUAGAAAAGCACUACAUCAUAUAGAUUUUGACUUAAACAUGUAAUUGAAGGUUUUACCUAAACACGAGACAACUAAGUUCAGCUUAACAAUACUUUUUCAUACAGAAGAACCCAAUAAUUAGACACAAUCAUGAGACUGUCAUAGUGAUAGCCCAAAAGUUGCCCUCGGAGUUAGCAGAUACAGGUAUAGAGAAGGAAAGUAUCUAAACACUUAGAUUUUUCAUACCACAGUUAAAUGGUAGAUGAUAUGAACUCAUGAACUUUUCAAGUGAUCUCAAUUAGGAUUAUCAAAUAAUAAACUUAACCACAAGAUAAACAAAAGGCAGGGAAACAAUAUGUAGAGGCAAAGAUCACAAUAGAAUCAGCACUGAAAAAAAACUAUGAAGUUAAGAUAAAGAUGAGCAGUCAUUUAAAGCACAUUAAGGGAAAUUAAUCAUGUAGACUAUUUAGACUCAGAAAUGAAAGUCAUUUGAGAUCACAUAACAGCUUGAUCAACAUUGAUUAAAGAUUCAGAAACAUGACAAGCAAUCAUAAGUGGGAAACAUCUCAUCAUAAACAAAAAAAAUAACAUUUCUAUAUUGGUUAUAAGGCAUCAUAAAUGACUAUAGUUCUCAAAAGACAACAAGCAUGUUUAUAAUGUUCAGAUAAGACGAACAUAAGAGAAAAGUUAGAGGUAUACUAUCCUUUUCUAGGGCAGCAGACCAAACAAGGAUAUCUCUUUGUUGCUUAAGACCCCAAAACUUCAAGCUCGAAGCAUCGAAAGUACAGAAACGAAAAAGGGAAAUCACUAAGAAAACCUAGGUUUCUUAAUCUCAGAAUUGAUCUUAGAUGAUUGUUCUUUCAUCUAAUUAGUAAUUCUAGGUUGUGGUAGAUGAUUGUGUAGGUGUUGUUAGGUGAGAACAUUAAAAGCCCCCUUUUCUAGUGCCAUUAAGGCUCUAGGGUUUCAAUCGGAUUCAAAAUUGUGAGUGAAAAGUGAUGAAAGAUUGAUGAUGAUAGCAAAAUCAAGUGAAAAUCUGAGAGACAGAGGGAAAAAAUGGUGAACAAGUUACCUGAGUGAAAAAGCUGACCGUUAAAGGUAAAACCCAUCGGUUAAAGCUCCAAUGUCCAGAGGUCAUUGCAUUUGACCUCUGGACUUCGAAUAAUCAUGAUGAGGCUCUAAAACGUGCACAUGCAUGCUCCGAUUCAAUAGAACAUGAAGGAAAUUCAUAAAUUUGAAGUUUCACAUUUUGAUAUGUGAUUUCAUAAUUAGGGAUUUUGAAAUUUCAUCGGUGAAAUGGAAAGAAAACAACAGGCUUCAUAGCCCAGGGACAAGAUGAGUGCUCUGCAUGUUUGAUUUGAAAGAACAUGGAAGGAAUCAGAUUAAUGGGGUUUGAGCUUAGGGUUUUAGAACUGGGCAUUUCAAUUCCAGUGAUUGAAAGAGGAAAAUAGCAUGCUGGAUUCGCGAAUAGAGAGACAGAAGAGAUGAUUCAUAGUGUUUUCAAGUGACAUUACACAAAUUUGUGCAAGGGUUCUGAGAUUGAUGGUUGAUGGAGAUGAGAGAAAAGAGAGAGGAAAUGGAGAUGAGGGAGACUGGUCUCUGAGUGAAUGAUUAGGGUUUUGGGGGGAAUAGGGGGGUUGGUUUCUAGGUUUAAGGACGAGAGGUAGAACGCGAGCCGAUGGAUCUGUUAAUCAACGGCUCCGAUUAUUUGAGUAAUUGAAAAUUUAAAAAUAAUUUAAGUGGGAAAAAUCGGUGGCCAUUGGAUUACUUUGAUUGGAUGAUUGAGAUUAGAUCUAUGGUUGUUUAAAUUAAAGAGAAAACGGAGACCAAUUGUGAGCCAUUGAUCUGAGGAACAGACGGCUCACAUUCAUUGUAUUUCUUGUGUGAGUGUUAUAGAGAGGUGACGUGGCACGCGGUGAUUGGUGCAAAAGAGAUGGCACGGAUUGCCACAGCGGAAGAUGGGGUGUUUGGAUUGGGUAUAUUUCGGACUGGGCUUGAUAAUUGGGCUAAAAUAAGUUUAAGAAAUGGUCAUUUUACAUUUGAUUGAGAAUUGCAAUUGUAGCCAUUUUGUCUUUUAAUCCCUUUUCGAAUUUAAUUUAGGUAAACUUAAUAAUUUUCAAUAAAUGUGGUAAAAAUUAUAAUUACUAUAUAUACUACUAAUUAUUUUAAUUAAUUAUUUAAAAAAUACUUUGUUUUCUAAAUUGAAACAAUAAUUUCGAAUUUCACAUAAUAGUCUAAUUAACUAGAAAUUAAAGAGUAAUUCAUUAAAUUAAUUAGAGAACCUAUGUAAUGUAUAUAUAAGAAUUAUUUUAACAAUCUUAAAAUAGUACCAUUCAGAUCUUGGAGGAUAUGCUGAGAGCCUACAUCAUUGAUUUUGGAGGCCAGUGGGAUUAGUUCCUACCGUUAGCAAAGUUGCUACAACAAUAGCUACCAGUCGAGUAUCAGAUGGAUCCAUACGAGGCCUUAUAUGGGAGGCGAUGUCCUUUUCAGAUUGGUUGGUUUGAGCCUGGGAAGGCUAGGUUGUUGGUCACUUAUCUAGUUCGUGAUGCUUCGGAGAAGGUGAAAUUGAUUCAGGAACGGCUUCGUACAAUGCAGUCCAGGUAGAAGAGUUAUGAUGAUAGGAGGGUUUACGAUGUAGCUUUCAUGAUGGGUGAGAGAGUUCUUCUCAGAUUAUCUCUAUGAAGGACGUGAUGAGGUUCUGGAAAAAGGGCAAGUUGAGCCCUCGAUACAUUGGUCCAUUUGAGGUUUUGGAGAGAGUGGGUGAAGUGGCUUACCGGCUUGCUUUGCCACCUAGCUUGUCGAGAGUUCAUCCGUUAUUUCAUGUUUCCAUGCUUCGGAAGUAUCAUGAGGAUCAGUCACAUGUGUUAGAUUUUAGUUCGGUGCAAUUGGAUAAAAACUUGGCUUAUGAGGAGGAACCAAUGGACAUUUUGGACAGGCAGGUUCGAAAGUUGAGGUCGAAGGAUAUUGCAUCAGUAAAGGUUCAACGGAGAAGUCAACUGGUCAAGGAGACGACUUGGGAGACUGAGAAUGAUAUGCGGAGCAGAUAUUCACAUAUUUUUUUUCCUUCCAGGUAUGUUUCUAAACUUGUUCGAGGAUGAACGUUUGUUUAACAAGGGAAGAAUGUAACGACCCGGCCGGUCAUUUUGUGUAUUUGAUCCACGUUUUCCUAUUUGAUGCUUCCUAUAUGCUUCUUUUUUAUUUUGUGACUUGCGAGGAUGGUUGGUUUGGUUUCGGGGAAGUUUAGGAUUGAAUUAAAAUAUUUAGUUCCAAGGUUAGAAACUUAAGUUAUAAAAGUUGAUCGAGGUUUGACUUUUGUAUAAAUAACCUCGGAUUAGUAUUUUGAUAGUUCUAAUAUGUUCAUAUGGUGAUUUUGGACUCCAGCGUAUGUCUGGAUUUGGAUUUGGAGGUUCCUAGGUUGAUUUGGUUGUAUUUGGCGAAAGUUGGAAGUUGAAGGUUUGGAAGGUUCAUAGUUUUACCGAGAGUUGACUUUGGUGUUAUCGGGUUCAAACUGUAGUUCCGGGAAUUGGAAUAUGUUCAUAAUGUGAUUUGGGUAUUGUGUGCAAAACGGUCAUUCCUAGUUGGUUAGAUAAGGUUCGAUAUGAGUUUUGGAAGUUAGAAAUUUAAUUAGUUUACUAGGCUUGAAUUGAGGUGCGAUUUGUAGUUUUGAUGUUAUUUUGUAAGAUUUGAGACCUCGAGUAAGUCCGUGCUAUAUUUUGUGAUUGGUUGGUAUGGUUGGACGGGGUCCCGUUGCACCUUGGGUGUGUUCGGGUGGUUUAGGACCAUUUCCAUGAAUUUUGGACAUCAAAUUUUUGCUGGUGUCUGAUGUCCUUCACAUUCGUGUAGAAGCAUCGUGUUCACGAUGAAGGAAUUUGGGAGCUGGGAGAUUUUCUCUUCGCAUUCACGGAAGGCUGCCGCAUUCGCGAAGAAGGGAGUGGUACUGGGCAGCAGGCCUUCGCAUUCGCGAGGCUACUGGGCGCAUUCAGGAAGGGAGAGAGCCUUUGGUCUUCGCGUUUGCGAUGCUCCUAUCGUGUUCGCGAAGGAGGUUUUGUUCUGGCAGUGAUUUUGUGCUUCGCAAACACGAGGCACGUGCCGCGUUCGUGAAGGGUUUAACUGGGCAGUCUUUUAAGAUGUCUUUUUGGGACUUUUACUCAUUUUAUCAUAUUUUGAGAUUGAGAGCUCGGAUUUGGGCGACUUUUUAGGCGAUUUUCACCACUCGAAUUGGGGUAAGUGUUCUUGACUCAGAUUUGAUUAUUAUUCAUGAGUCUACCUUUGAUUUUUGCAUUUCAUGGGUGAAACUAAAAGAGAAUAAUUAGGGGUUUUGGAAAAACUUUUUUAAAGUGAAAAAUGGAGAUUUGAACCCCGAUUCGUAGUCGGUUUUGGAUGAAACUUAUAUAUUUGGACUCGUAAUGGAAUGGGUAUUCGGGAUUUAUGAAUUUUGUCGGGUUUUCGGAGGCGGGCCUGGGUUGACUUUUUGGUUGACUUUGUGAAAUUCAUUAAAAAUUCAAUCUUUAUUGUUUGGGUUUGAUUCUAUGGCCUUGUUUGAUGUUAUUGAGGUGUACUUGGCUAGAUUCGGCUCGUUCGGAGCUCGAUUUGAGAGGAAAGACUAUUUUGGGAGAUUAGAGGCUACCAUGUAGAGGUAAGUCUCUUGACUAACCUUGUUAAGAGGGAAACCCCUAGGAUUUGACUUGUUUGCUAUGUGUUUAAGGGUAUUGGGGGUAGUGUAUUUACAUAGUGGCGAGCGUAUAUGCAUUUACCGAGUUUAUAUCAUGACUGGUGGUAGAAAUGGAAUAUUUCAUACUUUGUUUGACUAUGUGCUCAUUUGAUUCAUGAUUUAUUUAGCAUAUGUGACUACGUUUGCUCUCUUAUUCAUGUUAGAAAUCAUGCCUAGGCUUAUGAUUAAUUGUGAAGGCAUGAGAACUUAUUCUUGACAUGUUAAAAUGCAUAAUUAUCCGUAUGAUAUUUUAUUAACUUUGUGUGUAACUUUUAUAAAAAAUUCUUAAACUUAUACAUACAUUUUGAUUAAUGAAUACGUGAACCGGACUGAGGACUUUGGCACAAAGGGUAAGCAUGCGAGUGAGAUACAGUUUGGCACAUUGGAUUAAUGAUUAGUUAUUGAUUUAUGAGGGAUGCUAUUAUACCCCUCUUGCGCUUGGAUUUGGAUCCAUCCCUCCGAAGUCAGGUGAUAACUCAUGUUGCUUUGGGCCCUUUGAGCGUGGUCGGUACAUGGAUAUUGUACCGCAUCGAUACAUGGAUUUGUAUCGGGUUAUGUGAUACAUGGAUUGUGUAUUGGAGUAUAUGGAUCUUGCACUGGUUGAGCAUGCAUUCUUAUUAUUGAUUCGAUUUGAAGUAUUUAUCUCAUUAUAACUCGGACUUGGCCCUACUAUUAAGGAAGAUAAUAGCAUACACGGGCAAGAUAAUGACUAAUACUAUGCUACUCUAGCGCAACACGUCGCCCUCCUAGCAUAUCAAGGGCUCGUUCCACACGAGUACACCCUACAAGCCUCAACACUAGGGACCCGCUUUGAGCGAACACGACCUACUUCAAGCCCCAACACUAGGGACUUGCCCCGAAUGAGCAAGGGCAUUCGAUGCUAAAUAAACUUCCCUAACUAGAUACGCCAUACUAUAAUUUGCUGAAGCACAUAAGAAGGAUCAAAUAUAGGCCAAAAACCAAAACAUAUGCAACCUUCCAUAAAUACAAUACAAGAGUGCCUCAACCAAAAAACUAGAGAUUGUUUCUUACAUACAUACGUGCCCAAUAAACUAUGGGCAUAACAAACCACUACUAAAAGUCUUCAUUCAGGAUCCUCUAUUACUGCCUUCCCCUUCAAAUCACUGAUGCCUGAACCAGCACCCAAACUGCUCCCAAGGUCUAGCCUGCCACUAGCACCACUCCCGAAACGACCCAAUUCAUGGGUCAAUCGCUCAACUUCUACAAUGAGAGGGGUGAGCUCUAUAGCCUUUAUUGUCAGGCGUGAUGUAGCCUCGCCAACUCUCAUCAGAGCACGACUUUGAUCAACCAUGAUUCGAGUCAGCUUCGCCAAAUGCACUUGACAUAACUCACUCUUAGUCUUCUAUUGUACCUUCAAAUUAGCCACCCUUGAUUGUAACACAACCAUUGACUCCUCAGCACCUACUGCGAAAUUUCCAUGAUUGCCGACUUGGACAACCGCAAGAUCUGAUGGCCAAGAAUAUAUCCGCAAGAUCUGAUGGCCAAGACAAAGAGACCAAGAGGGAAAUACAAAAUUGCAAUGCAAACACAAGAUUAGAAAAUCAAACAAAUAGAAGGUCAAAGCAUAUGAAAGGAUCAUCACCUCUAGGGAAUGACACACCAUGUCCUCAAACAGUAGAUAUGGGGCAGUAGAUAUGGGGCAGAAUCCUUUUGUCUCUCCAAGACUUUUCAACAAGAUCAAGUGUUGGAGGGUGCCAAGUGAGUCAAGAUCUGAUUCGAAACACCACCUCAUCCUUUAACAAGGAUUGAAGUACAUGCCCUUGAAGAAGAUAUCAUCGCUCAAAUUGUCGAUACCACCAAGAGAGGCAAAAGGUCAGAAUAAGUUGUCAAUAAAGGAAAAGAAGUAACAAACAAACACUCUCAAAAGUAAAGGCAUUAGGUGCGGCUAGUGGAGAAUGAGCAUCAUCAGAAGGCGUAGCCACCACCGCGGAGGAAAAGGGUAAACUUGAGGGGAUGAAAUUCGAAAUGAGAACAAGAUUUAAAUCACCCUGAGAAGAAAGGAACCUAAAGCGGUUGGCAGAAAUGUCACUUUGGACGCGCGCUUUUUUUUUGCCGGUUCACCCUCAGUGAAAACUAAGGUUGCUCUCUCCCUCUUUUCUUGAGCCAGGCGGUGUAACCCAUCCAUGCACAUUGAAAGGCGAAGAACAUGCCUGUUUUUUCUCAUCCUUGAAUCUUUGAGCCAAUAGGAUUUUGGUCCCUUGAUCUGAUAGCUAGCGCUACAACGAUACUAGAAAAAGAAUAAUCCACGAGUAUGAUGGAAUUGAGUUUCCUCACCCACUUCUUGGUGAAUUCAGUUAAGCGCACCUCAAUAGUUGAAGCUGCAAAGUAAGAGUAUGAUAUUAGCUUGUUAGGUAUUUAAGAAAAAUGAGGAGAAAAGUGAAAAUACUCGCAACAGAGGUUAAACUGGAUCCUCAAAGGAGACUGUCUAGGUGCAAAUAGAGAAGAUAGCCUGAUGAAAAUAAAGUCCCCCCCACCAUUGACUUUUCAGUGAAUCCCUACGAUCAGAAAAUGCAAUCCUAGGAUAAGGGAUAGGGAACACUUCAUCAAGUGAGUAGAACCUCCUCUCUAGUUAAGUUAUGCAAAAAAAUGUGAAACCCUCACUAUAGAGUUUUACACCUGCUACAUCAUUCCUAUACUUCAGGAAAAUGGCUACCCUUCAUACUUUGGGUGACAAUUAUGCCAAAGCCAGACUACGAUCGAAGCAAAUUUUGUGGAUAAUCAAACCCAAGGAAAGUUCAAAGUUAAAGGAGAAAUGAUAUAAAGGUAGAGCAAUACAACCUUCGACCGAAGACCACAAUCUUUCAUUUGGAUUUGAAGCCCCCAUUUCAAUUCCUACCAAUGGUAAAUAUUAUUUGUAAAAGAAAAGGAAGGUCAUCGUCCAAAAUCAAUAGAGGAUCGUCAGUCAUAAAUAUAGGAUUUAGAUCCACGGAGGGAGCUGGAGGAUCCGAGAUAUCUUCAUAAAAGAAAGCGUAUUCAUCUUAAUCAAAAGUCAUGCGAUAAGUUUCACUUUCUAGUAGCCUGGUCGAUGAUCCUUUAUGGAAACAUACUGUAAAAGUGAAAAAAUAUAAAAAAUAAAAAGUAAAAAACUCACAUGGAAGUGCUAAUACCCUGAAAAGAGUGGUAAUUCCUGAAAAUAUUAUAUAAAAAGAGUCUGAUGGAGAAAUCAUGUCAAAGCAAGAUGAUCAUAAUAACUCUGAUAAUCGAAUGGAUGUGGCUACAUCACAGUAGCACCCUAUUCCUAUCAAUGGGAGACACAUCUCCCCAUGAUUCAAAAUGAAACACAUUUUUGCUUUGUGACAUCUUAUCCACUUGUCAAGGAGAAUAUGAUUUUGCCUUAGCAAUUGAGGGGACUAACUGUAGUGGUCAAAAAAUUCACUCUCAAAGUGCCUUGAACACAUGAUCUUUGACCUAAUCCACUGUACAACCCAAUACCUAAUACAAACAUCCCUACAGAAAGACCCUCAGCCUAUGGCCCUACCUACAACUCAACUUGCUAUACUAUCAAUUUUUAAGGCUUAUGACCCCAAUCAUUGCAGAAUAUGGGCCUUGGCCCCGCAUGUUACGCUCACACGGGCCAUGACUUCAUAUUGCUUGCUGCGUCUUGAUCCACUAUAACUCACUUUGACUAGGUCUAAAGGGAUAAGACGCACGUCCAACAACCUCCACAUAUAGUCUUUGCGAUGAUCAAUGGAUGAAAUAUUGGACCCAACAAUUAAGUUAGCUUAACUAACUAACCGAAAGUCCUACAAGUCAGUCGUAGAGUCCAAGCACCCGGUCUACUAUAAAUAUUGGGUGAAGGACCAAGCUUCAAGGCCAUUCCAACUCAACUCAACACAGCAUGAACGAGCUCCCAACCUAUCCCUACUAGUCUUUAUUUUUCUUGUCUAAACACUUAUACACAUUAUAUUUUUUAUUGUUAAAUCUCUUCGGAGCUUAUUGCUUGUACCUUCAUUAUAUAGAUACUAGCUAGCUUGGCUGCAACCGAACCUCCCCGGAAGCAGCACUGUACUACGUGAAAUCGGGCAUGAUUAAUAAAAUUACUCUCUCAUCUUUCUCUCUAUUUUACGUUCUGCCAUUUCAUAUCAUUCAUCUUUGUUUUACGCGCAUCAAAUAUAGGCCUUGCUCCAUAAUUAACGACCGAGCAGAAUUUAGCCUCUACAGUGUCCUUUACUCUUAUGUCUUGACUUUUUAUAAUUGUGGUUAUUUUAAUAUAAUACAUGUCAUGUACCUGCUAUAUAAAUGUUAAAUAGAGAUCCUAGCUUUAAAUAGCAAUAAUGAGGCACCGAGGAGUUUAAAAAUGAAAAAAGUAACAAUAAAAAGGAACUGAGAAGGAUUUUGGGAAAGAGAUGAACAGUAAUAAUAUGAAAAUAAAUAUAUAAGGCAUCUUUUAUUAUUUGCGAAUUUGUAGGCAUAAAUAAAAUAGAGAAAAAGGACAUACAAUCUGAGAAAAAAGAUAAAAUACGUCAUGACUUAUGAGAGGUAUUAUGUCACCCUUUAUGACAUAUGAAAUCUUGAUAGUCUAAUUAUAUGUUACACUAAUAUCUUUAAUCAAAUACUACAUUAGACUACUUUAUGCGAUAUAUUAUGUUAUAGAUUAUUUUCCUAAUAUUUUUAAUGAAACAACUCCUCAGGGAAUUUUGUUUUAUUGGUCUUUUAUUUGAGGCUUUUCUUUCUGAGAAAUAUAGGUCCUAUAGGGUUACUCUAAAAUUUUCGUUUGCAUAUUUGUGCUAGAAAGCUUUUUUAAAAUUUUCAUUUAUUAUAAGGGGAGGGUAAAGGGAAAGGGAAAAUCGGGAGGGGACUGAAAGCUCAAUCGAGUAUAUGACAUUUGAAUGGGUUGAGGCACUGAGUAAUAAUACUAGGUCGAAUAAGCGGGUAUAGGUGACCCGAAAAAUAGAAUCGAAUAACCCGCUGACACUUGUUGUCUAACCAUGGAUGGCACUCCAUUAUGACAGUGUUCUAGGGCACACAGACGAAGUGCAAAGAGAGCAAAAAAAUGCCGUUCAUUUCGAAAAUAGAGAGGCAAUCAGAUUACAGUUCCUUCAGCUCUAGUUGCCCCAUUGUCAUUGACAACGGCGCUUCCUAUUUCCGUGUUGGGUAUUCAUCCCUAAAUUCCCAAAUUCUCUCUGUUCUUGAGACUUUUUUCCGUUUUAUUUAGCUUCGGAUUUGUCAAUUGACAGGUGGGCAGGAGAGAAUGACCCUCGCGUAAUCUUUCGAAACAUUGUUCAGAGGCCUCGCCACAAAACGACUGGUAUGCUUUUUUUUUUCUUUUUUUUUUUCCAAUUGAGGUCAAGGAGAAUAACAAAAAUGAACCACAUUUUCAUGAUUCUAUACAAGACUGGGGAGAUUUUAAAUUAUGAUAGCUGAUUGAGAAGGACGGAUUUGCAUUUAACUUCUUAACUUCAGAAUGUGUUGACCGGUUGUCUCCAUAGAUAUGUUAGCAUUUUCACCUGCUUGGAUUGCCUCUAAACUUCUAUCUUGUUAAAUGUUAAUCCUCUGGCUUUUACUUUCUUUUGAUAAGUGAACGGAACAUUCAGAAGGUUAACUUAACACCUCUUAUGAAAUUUUCACAAACUUUUUUUCCCAUGAAAAAGAAAUCAUUUUUCUGUUUUGGAAUACUUUACAGUAUGAAUUCAUGUACUUUGAUUUCAUUUUCCUCUUUUGAUUUCUUUUCUGAGUGCUCAAUACUCAAAAGCAAAUGCACAACCCAGAUAGAAUUGCUUGGUUCCUAUGCCAUUAUACAUGGAGGUUGUGAUUGAGACCAUAACCAUGUUGUAUUCCGGUCAUUCUUAAAGCUGCAUAAGCCCAAUUUUUUUUUUUUCGGGGGGGGGGGNNNNNNNNNNNNNNNNNNNNNNNNNGGAAAUCAGAAAAGUCAAGAGACUCAAGGCCAUGAUAAUUUUUUGUUUUCUUGAGAUUCAUGGAUAUAACGAGGAGUCUGUUAACAGGGGCAGAUGCCUCCUUCUUCGCAAAAGAAUACUACGAAGGAGGAAAAGUAAGAGAAAGUUUAUUAAUUAGGAGAAAUGGUAGACCCAGUUUUGGUUAUCCAAAAAAAUUAGUAGACCAGGGUUUUCUAGUACAUAGUCUUUCCUAGGUGGCAUUGACUUUUCAUUUGCUUUAAUGCACUAUAGUAGAACAGGCUGACAUGUGUAUUGGUGCUCUGCUUAGGUCCUUCAGAAUAGACUCUAAACUGCUGAAAAUUGAAAGUACCCAUAUCGGUGCUUACCUGUACCCUUGUCACAAAGAUACCUGUCUGAGUCCCUAUGUUAAACUUUUAUUCCUUGCUUAUGAGACGCUUAAGUAGCUGCUAUAUUUGUUGUUUUUAGCAGUUGUUUUUAUUUCUAGUCCCAGAAUGAUAAACUUUUGCAAGCAUGUUCUUGGGAAAAUGAGAUAUUAUCUUUUGAUUUUCUUAUGAGAUGCUUAACUUUAAGUUCCUCAUUACAGUUUCAAAUAAGGCAUGAAUAGUAGUUAGAUUUGGUAUAUUAGAAUCUUGCCAUUUUGCUUACCUGGUCGCUCUUAUUUAUUUGUUGGUAAGUUCAAUUUAAAGGUGCUUUUUUUUCUUCUUAAAAACAAAAAAACUAGUAGUUAAAAGGUAUUAUGAGGGUAAAGGAAAAUUUUGGUCCUUGUGAAUAGUGAAACUAAAUGGAAUUAAGCGAUAAUGUUGAAUUUCGAUAAUUUCCCUUGUUUAAACAUCUAGGAUGCACGGCAUGCUUUCAUGAUCAUCCAUUGAUGUUUUUAUUUCUAGUCCCAGAAUGAUAAACUUUUGCAAGCAUGUUCUUGGGAAAAUGAGAUAUUAUCUUUUGAUUUUUUUAUGUGAUGCUUAACUUUAAGUUCCUCAUUACAAUUUCAAGUAAGGCAUGAAUAGUAGUUAGAUUUGGUAUAUUAGAAUCUUGCCAUUUUGCUUACCUGGUCGCGCUUAUUUAUUUGUUGGUAAGUUUAAUUUAAAGGUGCUUUUUUUUUUUCUUAAAAACAAAAAAACUAGUAGUUAAAAGGUAUUAUGAGGAUAAAGGAAAAUUUUGGUCCUUGUGAAUAGUGAAACUAAAUGGAAUUAAGCGAUAAUGUUGAAUUUCGAUAAUUUCCCUUGUUUAAAUAUCUAGGAUGCACAGCAUGCUUGACAUGCUUUCAUGAUCAUCCAUUGAUGUCUAUCCUUGAUGUGCAUGUUAGUGUUUUCAAAAGCGAAAAGUGCUAAAAGAUCCAAAGGAGAAGCGAAAACGGGGAAGCGAAGCAUUGUUGAAGUUAGGCGCAAAGCUACAUAAAAUUGAAAAAAUGCCAAACACAUAUGAAUUUAGUACUAUAAUAAUGUAAUUGCAAUUAAAAUAACUAACAAUAUUGACGAUAUUAAUCCAACUCCUCAACUUUAUCAAAAAAUAAAAAUAAUAAUCCAACUCCUUAAAAUUGAGAUUCAAAUAGCCGACCACUUCUUAUUAGGAUCACUUUGCGAAUCAUUGUUUAAAGUGCAAAUUUCUCUAAAGCAUGACUUCAUCAAUGAAGUAAUAACCCCUCGCUUCGCAUCACCUCAUCACUUUAAGAGACAAGCGAUGUCUUUUAAUAACACAUGUCAAAUGAGAAUGACAUGAGUAUGGAUUUUGGGGGCUCCUUCAAAAUAGACUAAAAAGCUUUAAAAGUUGAACACACCCAUUUUGGAUACCUAGCAGUACCUUUUCUAGAUGUAUACCGUCCGUAAGUCCAUGUAGCGUAGAUUGAUGUUCUACCAAAUUUUAUUGCUCCACUUAGUUAUGGAAGAAAAGAAAAUAAAGUUGUCACCUUAGGUUUUGUUCUUAAACUUCAUAACUAUGGCUAAAUGUAUACACAAGGAGGUAUUUAAGACUUGAUCCUUAGUCCUUACGAGUGCUACCUAACUGGAAUAAACACAUCCUCGCAAGGAGCCUAGGACAGAGUCAAAGAUAUAAGUUGGUGAAUCUAAAAUCUCCUUUACCCAAUCCUAAGAAAACAAUGCACUAAAUCUUGAUAUGCAAUUAUGCACUAACUUAUCAUGGAGACUAUAUCUCAAUUAGAAAGAUGCAUUUGAAAGUAUUAAUUCGACCUACUCUUCUAAAAAAAUAGUAUUAAUACGACCUACUAAACCUAUGAAAUGUCUUCCUAGUGGCUUUCUUUUGUUCAGUUAAAAUUUGAUUUAAACAGUCACAUAAGGGGCAAAAUUAACAAUUUUUUUAUCAUUUCAGAUAAAAAAGCAGGUUUGGUUGUUCAAGGGAACUUCCAACCUCCAAUGAGAGUUAGGACAGGGUAGACAAAUGUGCAAGUUAAUUCCUUGAAGAAACAAUACCUCUCUUUUGAUGAAAGACUCACUUUAAUUAACAGCGUGUUGAAUGGGAUUCUCACCUGCAUGAUCUCAUUAUUUCAUAUUCCUUUAUUAGUAGAGAAGAAAAUAAUAUGAGAAGUCAGUUCUUAUGGGAAGAAAAUGUAGAAAAGAGGAAGAUGCAUUUAGUAAAACUGCAAGCUCUCAUGAGAAACAAGAAAGGUGUACUUUGGGUGUGAAAAACUUGACCUGUUGUUUAAAUGGCUUUGGAGAUAUAAUGAGGAUGACAAACAACUCUGUAAGGAAAUAAUUAUUGUCAAGUAUGGUAGGAAAGACUUCUGGUGUCUUUGCCCUGUUUUAGCUGCAGGAGUUGGUUUAUUAAAACAAAUAUGUAAAUUGUCGCCAGAAUUUCAGCAAAACAUAAGAUGGAAGGUUGGUAUUAGGUGGAUAGAUUUCAUAUUUUGUAUAGCUUAACCACCGACAAAUACUGUACAGUGGCAGGUUGCUUUACUAACUCAGUUUAGCAGCUUACCUUUAGGAGAAAUUUUGAUGAUUGGGAGGUAGAAGUUAGUCAAUUACUGCACUUCUUGGAACCUUCACCCUUGAUGUUAACAGGUUGGACUCUCAGAUCUGCACAGCUAGUAAAGAAAGGAAAUUUUCUGUCAAAAGCUGUUGCAGACUAAUUUAGAAACGAGUUGGCCAUUGGGACUUAACUUGGUGUUGGGCCAUGUUUUGGAAGCUAACGCACCAUGAAAGGCUGCUUGCUUUGGAUGGGUUGCUGCCUUAGAUGCCCAAGACAGGCUACAGGACAAAAGUUUUGUUUUAUGUAGCAGAUGCUUUCCUGUGAGGAAGCUCAAGAAUCUGCAAGUCAUCUUUUUUCUUCACUGCAGACAAACAAGGUAGAUUUGGGAAUUUUUCCCAAGUCUUUUUGGUGUGCAAUGGGUGAUGCCUCUAAGUAUUAAAAACUUAUUAGAGUGUUGGCAGGGUCAGAGAGUAUGCAGAAGAUUGAAGGAGAUAUGAAAACCCAUUCUUCUACAUAUCAUGUGGACUAUUUGUUUAGGAAGAAAUAAGAGAUGUUUUGACAGCCAAAGAUAUCAUACUUCUGUUGUAAACAAUAGAUGUUCACAAAACUUGUAUUUUGAUGCAGGGAUAGCAUGUAAGGGAUGGCAUGUUAAAAGGCACCUCAAUAUCAUCAUCUUUCAUUUUUCCUUUCUUAACCUUCCCAUCUGUUGGAGUAAUUCUUUUCAGUCUGACAUUAUGUGAUAGAAGUGUUUGGUCAAAGCUCAAAAUAACUCUUCAUAGAUAAACCGGACAGCUUUCAACUCACACCAUCUAACUUGUAUCUUCCCGUAUAACAACGAUGUUUAAUUUUCUCUAUCUGUGUCUGUUCUGCAUAAUUGGAACACUAAUAAUCUGAGUCAUUAGGCUGGUUAUAUUAUCCUAUGUGAUCGACCUCUCUGCCUUGCGUGAAGGAUAGAAGUGAUACUAAAGGCGUGUUUGGUUAAGAUAUUAAUCUUUUACUGAUCAUGUAACUAAUUGAUCAUUUGGUAGUUGAUUGAAAAAUGAUCACUCUUUUGGAAGCAAUGUAGAGACCAGUUUGGAUGUUGAGUUUACUUUUUUUUUUGAUAAGGUAAGUGAAAUGUCAUUAAAGGCAUCAAGAAGAUGCAAAGAUUACAAAAGAAGGAAAAUGCCAGCUCUAAUACAAAAAGACUAUAAGGCUAAGGGGCUGACAAAAUCCAGAAACAUAUCAUAGUUAUUUACAGGAGAAAGAUUCACCCAACUAAAAAGGUUAACCAAACAUCUAGCUUUUAGAUAGCUUCUAGGAGUUGAAAUACCAUCAAAACAUCUGUGGUUUCGUUCAAUCCAAAUGCACCAAAAGAUACAGGCAGGCACCAUGAGCCAGAUGUGCUUGAUGGCUUUGUCAACUCUCCGGAGACCCCAUGCUUCAUAGAGCUCUCUGACUGAAUUAGGCAUAGACCAGUUCAGUCCAAAGAUGGUUAAGAACAUGUUCCAGAUAUCUGCUGCUACUGUGCAAUGAAUGAACAUGUGUGGGAUGGACUCUGAACUUGUGUGGCACAUAUGGCAUCUAUUGGCUAGUUGGAAACCUCUUCUGAUAAGGUUAUCCUGGGUUAAGCAAGCUCCAUUUAAUACUAUCCAGCAAAAGCACAUAACCUUUGUGGGAAGUUUAGUCCUCCAGAUUAAUUUCCAAGGCUAUAAAUCUAUUAGAACUUUGUUGGAGCUCUCUGCAUAGGCUGCUUUAACUGAGUAUACUCCAUCUCUAGUAUUACCCCACUUCAAUCUAUCUGCUGCUUGGUUGUUCACUGGAUGAGACUCCAAACUUCCAAGAAGAGCCAUUAGGUCAUCAAUUUCCCAAUCCUGCAGGUGCCUUCUCAAAGAUGGGCUCCAAGUGUUGCCCUCCCAAUACUGUAAUUUGUAAUUUGACAAGUGCUUAAUAAUCCAUUUAUGAUUAAAAAUAAUCCAUAAGAUUAUGGCCUAGAGGUCAAUGAAGUUGAAAUGGACCAAGGGAGACCAGGGUUCAAAUCCCCAUAGAGCUACCCGAUUAUACCUGUGCCGGUGGGAGGUAGUAGGCACUUGGUAGAUUUGUUGAGGUGCGAGCAAGCUGAUCUGAACACUAUCUUAUUAAAAAUAAAAAAUUCUACGACGAUCAGAUCGUAGAAAAGUUUGGUGAAGAAAUGAUCAAAAUUACUUCUUGCUAAACAACACUUCUUAUGACCAUGUUUUUAAAUAGUCAAGGUGCGUGCAAGCUAGCUUGGACACUGCCAUUAUCUCGAAAAAAUUCCAUAAUGAACAAACUGUAGUGAAGAUUGGUGAAGAAAUUAUCAAAAUUACUUCUUGCUAAACAACACCUACUAUAAACAUGUUUUUAAAUAGCGAAUGCAUAUAAUGCAUCAUCAUUUGAUUGGUGAAUAUUGGCUUCAAGUUUUGUUAUGUUCUUAUCAUAUUGCAGGUGAAACAGUAACAGUUGUCGGUGAUCACAAUCCUGCACUACUGAAGUACUUUGAUUGCACGCGUUCAGGACCUCGUUCAGCAUUCGAGAGCAAUGUUGUUUAUCAGUUUGAGAUAAUGGAAUAUGUAAGACUUCUAUUUGGUGGGAUUCCACUGGGUGGUUGUUGUUGUUGUUGUUGUUGAGUUUGUAAGCUUGACCAUGAAAUUUGUGAUGAGUAAACUUUAUUCCCAACUCUCUCCCCCAAAACAGAGAAAGAAAUAUCAACGACCUACCAGAGCAUGAAAGCUAGUUGAGCUGACAAUUUAUCUAGACUUUAGGUCUAACUACUGUGUUCUAUGUUUUCAUUCCUAUUUUCAAGAGAGAAUACUCUCUCUGGAUUUUAACUAUAACCUCUUUGGGAUGUAAGGCCAAGGGGACAAGGCAAAUUCACGAUGUUAUUUUAGAGUGUCAAGACAGUGCAAUCUGACUAAGAUAUUGAUGCGCGGCCAAUUGUAGCGGAAAGCUUCUCGAUAAUGACUCGUUUUCCUCCUUUUGGCCGGCACUGAUGCCAUACAUGGCACUCUUGGUGUAAGUGAUAGUUGGAUCAUAUAUUUGGUUUAUGUGAUGCUAUGUUGCUAAGCAGAGUCUGACAUAUGAAACAUUGAUGAUUGUGGAUUAACUUGUCUUGCUGCUUUGUCUUGUUUGCAUUAAUCAUGUUACCAUUAUUCUUAUUAUCUUUUUUUCUGAAAUGGUACUCAUGUUACCAUUAUGUUCGCGGUUUGCUGUAUGUAGAUACUGGACUUUGGGUUUGAUCGAUUAGGUGCCGAUCAGUCACAGGUAUGUUUGCUUUCAUUCAAUUGUUACUCAGGAUGAUAGACGAAUCUGAUGCUAUUACAUUCAGCUUGGUUUAUUAAGAUUUGCUUGGUGCUUGCUGUCUGGAGUGAAGCUGUAAAAUCCUUGUUGUGGCCUUUGACUAUUGCUUCUGUUUGAUUAUUUGAUAUAAACUGUUUAUGUCGGUCAUUGAUGUUUUGAUCCUUGUCAAUUAUCAAAUUAUUCUAUCUUCUAUUUUUUCCCGCAGAAUUUUUAUCCAACUGUAUUUUCUGGGAAUAUUGUACAGGAUGCAAAUUGAUAUGCUAACACAGAAAAGAAAUAGAAGAAACAGCUCUACUCAGAAGCUAACGAUGAAUUGUAUCUUGCUGUACAUGGAUGCCAGCACAAUCUUUGUGCUGUGAUUUUAAUACAAAUAUUACUUUCUUUAAAAAAAAAAAAAGAAUUAGAAGAAACAUGGGCUAAGCAAGCAUCAUAUAAGUCCUUAUAGUUUUACUGACCUUAUGAUAUCAAUAUCAUCAGUUUACACAUUAAAGUAAAUUGUAUGGUGUGACACAGUUUUUGUUAAAGGAGAUUCUCUGACACUAUCCUCUUUCUCUUCUCUCUCUUUUUCCCUCUUGCAAGAGAUUCCGUGUCAAUUGAUGUGCCUCCGUAUCUAGGUUUUCUCGAUGUCAGUGGCUUAAACAAUUGGGUGAUGAUGUAUGUUGCAUAUGUAUUGCAUAUAUGUAAAUGAAAAGAUGCACUUCAGUUUGCAUACCUUUGUUUCUCAUAAUGCGUACAUACAUAUAUGCACAGAGAUACCAAUACUUGAGCUAAUUUGCCUACAAUCCAUUUUUAUACUUCCAAACUGGUUAUUACGGCAUAGAUUAUGGUGCAUAGCAUGUAUGUUUGGGAUUCAGUGGGUGAUCUGAGGGACGGUCAGAGAGUUACUACCCUAAGAUAAGGAGAAAACGGGACUGGACUCCUCUGGCGCUUAUGUGAACAAUAUAUAUAUAUAGAGAGUAUAAGGCUGUUGAAAAUUCUUUUGUACACAUGAACGAAACUUUCUUUUUUUACAGUGUGAAGUUCUGGAGCCCAUAUGAUAUUCCAGUGAGCAUGACUAAAUGCUCUUUCUAAAGAACAGUCUCUUUGGUAGAAUUCUCUAUGUAUACAUCCACAGUUUUCCUAUCAUAUCAGUAGAACCAUUACCUUUAUUGAGAACAAAAUAAGUUGGAGCGGCAAAGCUAAGAUGUUUAAGAUAUGGUGAAAUACAGACCUUUCACUUUUUGCCCUUUUCUUCAAACGUAUCAUGUCCAUCUAAUUUUGCGCAUUUACUUUCUGCUGCAUAUAUCCUGUUAUUAAACUUCAGCUUGUAGUCCCUUAAACCAAUUCUUAUUCCAAUUCGGUGGCAGGACAGAUCGACCAUCCUAUCUUAAUUACUGAAUGUGCUUGCAAUCCAGUUCAGUCUCGUGGCAAAAUGGCUGAGCUUCUUUUUGAGUCAUAUGGAGUUCCUUCAGUAGGUAUGAACACCUAUAUCGGUUGCCUGGAGCUGUUUGCAUUGCUUUGGAUUCUAAUGUUGUUAAAGUUGUGUGGCACGCUUGCAGUCAUGCCAUUUUUUUUGUCAUCCUAAAGAUUCCUUUGUUUUAUCUUGAUCUUGUUGAAAGUUCUUGCAUGUAUGACAAUAUUCACUUGGUUCACUUCUCACCAAACAACAGUUCGUGGAUUUGAUAAUUAAGAACAUAACUUUCUGUGGCGUUUAUGUGCACUUUUUGCUCACAAUAGUCGCUUUUUUUUAUAUUGCAGCAUUUGGUGUAGAUGCUGCAUUCAGCUAUAAAUACAACCAACAGCUUGGAAUUUGUAAAGAUAUUGGUCUUGCAAUCAGCUCAGGAUUUACUACAAGUCAUGUCAUUCCGGUAUGCUUUAGAGGCCUAUUAUGCAGCUUUUAUGAAUUAGCGGUGGUAUUAAGAUAAUUGCAUGAUAAAAUUUGAUUUAAGGUUAAAAAUGCAUUGUACCCCGUGUUUUAAAAGGCGUUUUCGGGGCGAGUCCCGGGGAGAGGCGCACCAAAAAUGCCCCGAGGCGAUGGUGUGGGGAGAAAGUCUCAAGAGGCGUACGCCCGGGCGUUUGAGGCACAUUUUUGUAGUGAGGCGUAAGCCUCAGAGACUUUUUCAAAUUAAAACAAAAUUUGUUGAGUACGUCCUUCAUAUAAUACCCAAAUUCUCAAAAGUCAGCUUAUAAUUACUCAAAAGUUUUAAAAAGGAACUAAAAUGUAUUAAAUUUAAAAGUCAAGACAUUUUUUAUUGAUUGAAGCCCUAAUUUAUGGUCUUUUCCAAUUCUUUAUCUUGCCCGCUAGUCUGUUAAUAUCUCCCAAAAGCAUCGAAUAUUCAAUUUUUUUUUACAAAUACAAAUAGAACUCCAUUCUCCUUCAUAACAGCAAGUUCAAAGUUUAAUUGCAGGUUAGUCAUCCUUUUUGUUCCACCAUGUAGAGAACUUUAUUUUUUUCGACUCAAGUUACUUGUGCUUGUAAGUAUAAUAGAUUGUUUUUGACUAGUUUUUUGUGGGGAUGGAGCACAUCUAUAUAUAUAUAUUUCACAUAUUUAUAGUUUUCUUCAAUUUUUAUGCAAUUUUACUUGUUUAUAAAUAUUUACUGUAAUUAUAUUAUUUUAUAAAAUAUUAAAAAUUAAAUACCCAUGGGGCUUAUGCCCCGUGCCUUGGGGCUUACGCCUCGCUGAGGCAUAUGUAAAACGUCUCACCUUACGCCCACGCCUUUUAAAACACUGAUUGUACCUUAUCAAUUUAGAAAGAAAAAAAACAAUUAUGGGUAGUGUUAGCUUCGUAACCAUCUCGUCUAAAAGUUUAAACUGUCAGAGAGAAGUGAGAACACUCUUAUUUACUUAAUUAUAUCUUCAACAUGCCCCUCACAUACAGUCUUGAUUCUUUUUUUUGUAUUGAACCAAGCACGUAAGAAUUCUUUUUUAUCGUUAAAAGAUAUUUGCAUUAAAAAGUCAGCACGUAAAAAUUCCUUUGAAUAAAAAAUAAAAAGGAGAAACUGAAUGACAAUACUCGGUGAAAAAGAGAUAUCAAUCAGGUUGUAACUGAGAAUCUGAGAUAGUUCAAUUUCUCAACUUAUCUCUUGUAUCUCCUGUGUCUCCCAAACUAAGUAGUUAGAACUUUCAAGUAGCGGGUCCGAAUUAAUCAUUGGACUCGAGUUUCCGAGUUCCCUUUUUGGAACCAAAAACGUCAAAACAAAGCGACAUAAUGUUGGAUUGAAGAGAAUUCUAACCAAAGUAACAUACCACAAAAUAUAGUUUAAAGGUUGAUCAGAGAGUAUAUUUCAGAGAAUGGUAUUAGAUUUGCUGGGAAAACUCGUCGGUAAACGACCGAAGAGCUGCUUUUCUGUUUGAAACUGGCUGGAGAAUCAAUGAGAAAUUCUGUAAACUGAAUGGGAGGAUGCAAUGGCACAGACGACUUCCACACUGACGGAAAUCUGCAGAAAAGUUGCCAGAGAAGAGAUAUCUGGUUGGUAAACAUUCUGGAAAUCCAGAACCCUACUUCUGGUGGUCGGAAAUUGCAGGAAUUUAGAUGGGUGGAUGAACCCUAAGGAGUAGAAAUCUCCCUCAAAAAGUGGCCAGAAAAGGGGUUACCCACCGGUGUGUGAGAUUGACGCGUCGUGGGAAUUGGAACUGCCAGUGGCGUGUGGCGGCACACGCUGUGGUAUUUGGCGGAGCUUCUGCUGGGGUCGGUCACUGGAGGCUGAGCAACCCUGUGGUGGUGCCGUGGUGGUGAUUUUUGCACAAUACCGAUGGAAAAAAGAUUUUGACAUGAACAGCCCCUUAAGUCACGGGAAAGUUGCAUGGUUUCGAGUUUUUCUUGCUAGUCGCUGGUAUGUAGUUAUAUUUUCGGCGUGUGACCAUCUCUUCUAAACGUUUAAAUUGUUAGAGAGCACAAAUUUAUUUACUUAAUUAUAUUUUCAACUGGUAGGUUAUCACAUGUUAAAAGGUGUCAACCGUGCCCCUGUCCGGUGAUGCCAAUGUAAUACAACUAAGUGUCAUCUUUGAAAGAUAUUUUUCGAUUGGUGCCGGUCCCAGUAUGUGAAAGAGAUCAAUGUUAAGACCUUAUACCCUUUCAGGCUAAUUUCUGUUUGACAUAUCAUGAUGCAGUUUUUGCUAGCGGUAGGCUAUCAUUUCUCAUUAUAUGCUACUAAUAUAUGACAAUUUGUUGCAUUUUCAGUUUAUUAACGGAGAACCUGUCUAUGAAGCGUGCUGUCGAACUAAUGUUGGUGGAUACCAUGUUACUGAUUAUCUGAAGCAGCUUCUUUCACUCAAGCACCCUCAUCACAUGUAGGUGUUAAUAGUUUUUUGAAUUCAUGAUGUUGCUAUACUGCUUUGGGUGCUUUUCAGGCUUCAUCCUUGAAUGCUUAAACAGAUCAAAGCUUACAUGGGAAAAGGUUGAAGAACUGAAGAUGGAAUACUGUUACAUAGCCGCAGACUAUGCUUCAGAGGUUCAAUUAUUUCAGGUAAUUAGCACUUUUCUCUCGUCCUUCUGGUUUCCAGAGGUAAAAUAUUUGAUUCUAUUGUGACAGAGGGGGGAUAAGGAAGCUGAAGAAAAGACCAGAUGUUGGCAGCUUCCUUGGACUCCAUCACCAGCCGAUGAGCCUCCAUCAGAAGAAGAACUUGCAAGAAAGGCGGCUUUGAAGGAAAAACAAAGUCAAAGAUUGCGUGAGAUGGCUGAAGCGAAAAGAUCCUCAAAAAUAAAUGAACUUGAAAAUGAAUUAAAAGGUUUGGAAUUCCUCUUAGAGGAGCUCAAGGACACUGAGGAUGACCAAAUUGUGUCGUUCCUUGAAAGUAGAGGUUAUACUUCUAAACGUGAAGUGGAAGCUGCUUUUGCAAAAGUUACUCAAACACUUCGGAAGGCCAAGGGUGAGCAGGUUCCUAGUGACGAGAAAGCAGAUGCUUCUGCAGCUGAGAAGUAUUAUCUCAUUGAUAUACCUGAUGAAGAACUUUCAGCAGAGCAGGUAUGCACGUAAAUCUCCAUAUUGGUAGUGGUAUUUCUUGUCAGAUAAUACUUGAACUAGUUUAUUGUUGCAAUUGUCUCUUCCACCUCACUCUUGGCCAGCUUUGUGCAAAAUCAUCUUCCACUUAUUUUCUCGUUCAUUUUCUAUGUUGGACUUUUUAACUGACAAAUGAAAAUGUUGAAACUUCUUAAUAGCUCAAGGAGAAGAGAAGACAAGUGUUCNNNNNNNNNNNNNNNNNNNNNNNNNNNNNNNNNNNNNNNNNNNNNNNNNNNNNNNNNNNNNNNNNNNNNNNNNNNNNNNNNNNNNNNNNNNNNNNNNNNNNNNNNNNNNNNNNNNNNNNNNNNNNNNNNNNNNNNNNNNNNNNNNNNNNNNNNNNNNNNNNNNNNNNNNNNNNNNNNNNNNNNNNNNNNNNNNNNNNNNNNNNNNNNNNNNNNNNNNNNNNNNNNNNNNNNNNNNNNNNNNNNNNNNNNNNNNNNNNNNNNNNNNNNNNNNNNNNNNNNNNNNNNNNNNNNNNNNNNNNNNNNNNNNNNNNNNNNNNNNNNNNNNNNNNNNNNNNNNNNNNNNNNNNNNNNNNNNNNNNNNNNNNNNNNNNNNNNNNNNNNNNNNNNNNNNNNNNNNNNNNNNNNNNNNNNNNNNNNNNNNNNNNNNNNNNNNNNNNNNNNNNNNNNNNNNNNNNNNNNNNNNNNNNNNNNNNNNNNNNNNNNNNNNNNNNNNNNNNNNNNNNNNNNNNNNNNNNNNNNNNNNNNNNNNNNNNNNNNNNNNNNNNNNNNNNNNNNNNNNNNNNNNNNNNNNNNNNNNNNNNNNNNNNNNNNNNNNNNNNNNNNNNNNNNNNNNNNNNNNNNNNNNNNNNNNNNNNNNNNNNNNNNNNNNNNNNNNNNNNNNNNNNNNNNNNNNNNNNNNNNNNNNNNNNNNNNNNNNNNNNNNNNNNNNNNNNNNNNNNNNNNNNNNNNNNNNNNNNNNNNNNNNNNNNNNNNNNNNNNNNNNNNNNNNNNNNNNNNNNNNNNNNNNNNNNNNNNNNNNNNNNNNNNNNNNACAAACAUUCAGUAGAAUGGAUUAUUAUGAAAAAGGUGAAGAUUGGCUUCGUAGAUAUAAGUUCAGAUACAGGAUCUAAUUGUUCAAGUUGAAACUGAGAUUUUACAUAGGUUUAGUACACUCAGCGGGCUAUGUUAUAUAUGAAUAGUGGACCAUUAAGACCAUUUUAUACAGGAUAAUAUUGUGCUGUAUUCGUAAUGAAUGUGUUUCUCAACUUGCUUUUUAAGCAAUCUUUCUAUUGCCUGACGCCUUGAUCUUUCUUUUAAUUGUGCUGGUCCUUCCGACCUACACCCUUCCCACUCGAGCUGUCAGAUGGCAGAUAGGUAAUGGAUCACUCAUCAAUGUUUGGAGUGACAUCUGGC
rnacentral:lncRNA from 1 species